rnacentral:rRNA from 1 species
AUGCAAGUCGAACGGCAGCAUGAUCUAGCUUGCUAGAUUGAUGGCGAGUGGCGAACGGGUGAGUAAUACAUCGGAACGUGCCCUGUAGUGGGGGAUAACUAGUCGAAAGAUUAGCUAAUACCGCAUACGACCUGAGGGUGAAAGUGGGGGACCGCAAGGCCUCAUGCUAUAGGAGCGGCCGAUGUCUGAUUAGCUAGUUGGUGGGGUAAAGGCCCACCAAGGCGACGAUCAGUAGCUGGUCUGAGAGGACGAUCAGCCACACUGGGACUGAGACACGGCCCAGACUCCUACGGGAGGCAGCAGUGGGGAAUUUUGGACAAUGGGCGAAAGCCUGAUCCAGCAAUGCCGCGUGUGUGAAGAAGGCCUUCGGGUUGUAAAGCACUUUUGUCCGGAAAGAAAUGGCUCUGGUUAAUACCUGGGGUCGAUGACGGUACCGGAAGAAUAAGGACCGGCUAACUACGUGCCAGCAGCCGCGGUAAUACGUAGGGUCCAAGCGUUAAUCGGAAUUACUGGGCGUAAAGCGUGCGCAGGCGGUUGUGCAAGACCGAUGUGAAAUCCCCGAGCUUAACUUGGGAAUUGCAUUGGUGACUGCACGGCUAGAGUGUGUCAGAGGGGGGUAGAAUUCCACGUGUAGCAGUGAAAUGCGUAGAGAUGUGGAGGAAUAC